rnacentral:rRNA from 1 species
UACGAAGGGUGCAAGCGUUAAUCGGAAUUACUGGGCGUAAAGCGUGCGCAGGCGGUUGUGUAAGUCAGAUGUGAAAUCCCCGGGCUCAACCUGGAAAUUGCAUUUGAGACUGCACGGCUAGAGUGUGUCAGAGGGGGGUAGAAUUCCACGUGUAGCAGUGAAAUGCGUAGAGAUGUGGAGGAAUACCGAUGGCGAAGGCAGCCCCCUGGGAUAACACUGACGCUCAUGCACGAAAGCGUGGGGAGCAAACAGG